rnacentral:lncRNA from 1 species
UUUUAGCCCGCCAUUGUGCAUUUUCGACCAUUUUUGAAGACAGGGGUGAUGGUACUGUUCAGAUUAUAAAAAGAGAUAUGGCUUUUCCAAUACAAGAAAUUAAGUUAGACACUCGGGUACAGGAUCCAGAUAUUGAGGUCAUGGAUUUAUACAAACAAGAUUAUAAAACUCCCUUCGAUCUGACAAAAGGGCCUCUUUUUAGAUGCAAACUUUAUCAUUUGCCAAAUAAUUCCUAUUACUUCACAAUGGUAAUACAUCAUAUUAUUUUUGAUGGUUGGUCACAUUUUAUUUUCUACAAUGAAUUAUGGUCCACAUACAAAAAGAUGUGCGAAGGUGGUGACUACGAUACCUCAAUACAGAAACCGUUGUAUGCCGAAUGGGCUUACGAGGAACAACAAAGUACCAGUCUACCGAAAUCAAAGUUAUCUAAAGAUAUGUCAUACUGGAAACAGAAGCUUGCAGGAGAACUACCACGCACCACAUUUCCAGGAGAUAAAGUAAGACCCAACAUGUUCACAAACAAAGGA